AGAGAAAAGCUAGCGUGGCAAAUGUCAAGGUUGGCUGUCUGUUCAGGCAGGGAGAGUAAAAAUGGAAUAACUCUUUAAUCGGGUAAGUAAGCAGUAUUCCCUUCGCACCUGACCCCAGCUUCCACCAGCACCAUUUUUUGGAUAGUCCAUGAAAGGAGGAGCACCUAGUUCACAGCCUCCAAAGUCAGGAUUUUCCAUCAAAUAACCCCAGCUGACGUUCUCCGGUGCACUGCCCUCUGCAGAACCCUCCAGCUGUGGCUCCACUGAGGUGACAUAUGAGAAGACGCCAGCUGUGGGGGAAACCUUCCCAGGCUGAGGGAAAUCCAAGUGCAAAACUCCGGAAAAAUGUCUUGGCAUGCCUGAUAGACAGGAGCUCCUGGAAUGUGGCUGGUUCUGGAAUUUAUGAUUUGGUCAAGGAUCGUGUCAAAUUGUAGUGGCAUAGAAAGCUGGCACAAGAGGAGGCCUCAGCAAUAAUUUAGCACAAACAAGGAAACAGCACAGAGAUGCUACAUGAUUUUCCAAAGGCCACACAGCAAGUUAAAUCCAUUCCAGGGCUCAUAUCAGUUGGCAGCCAAACCCCAAAAGUCCUCUCUGUGUGGACUGGCUUCUGCAGUUUUCUCCUGGAAGGAAAAAAAAUAAAACAACUAUAAAUAAAAUCUCAAUAAGCCACACAUUGAAUGCUCACCUUUGCUU